CAGACUCAGAGAGACGCAGAAAAAAGAACACAGCAAAAGAAGAAAAUGACCAUGUUCAUCGCUGUUCUUGUCAUCCUGUUGCCACUUUGCAGUGGAGCCACUUGGACCUCUCCAACACGUACUGAGAUCUUGCAUGAUUUGCAAAAGCUCAAUGGAACUUCCUUCAGAUGGGACAAUAAUUUAUUGCCCAUCAUGGUACCCCGCAAUCAAAGCAAUGCUUGUUUCUGUCAGACGGAAUUUAAAAAGCAGCUUUCAAAGUUUGUGAAGAACUUGAAACCCAUAUCUGAAGGAAAUCAGAAAACACAAGGGCUACAGAAAAUACUGGACAGGCUACGGGUAAACAUAAACUUUCUGCAUGUGCCAGAGGUCAGUAAUACAGACUAAACAUGUGUCCUGAAAAGCAUUGACUGUGCACUCUCAUGACUCUUAACCUACAUGUGGUCUUAAUUCCACUGACUCAUGAAUUUCUUUUUUGACCUUGGGGAGUUGAGUUUGACUUGAAAAUGUUGUUUACUUUUCAGGACAAACAUUCGAUCGCUUGCGCACUAUCCUUUAGUCAAUACAAGAAUAUAAACUUCUGUUCCAAAUAUUACAAGUUGUUCAUCAAGGAGUUGAAUGCUAAGAAUUGCUAAGACUUUACGAAAUGUCUUGUCAAACAACUAAUGUAUUCAUUGAACAUUCUGAUGCCUAUUUAUUCAAUGCAAUGUGAGCUAGCACAUUGCAUGUGCUACAUAAUGUGUUUUACUAUGACGAGGACAGUUUCUAUGAUGAAAUCUCUAUAACAUUUGUUGUUCAUCUAUUUAUUAUUUAUUUAUUAUUUCCUGCAUUCAAUUUAUUUAAAUUAUGAAUUAGUUAAAGUAAAUGUUAACAGAAUUAAGCUUAUUUUGUAUUCAACAUGUUUUCAAAUAAAGUCAAUUUUGAUGAUAUCAUUGUAUUUGUACAAGGGGAAACAAGGAGAAAAUGAUUUUCAUGUAAUCUAUUCAUUUCUCACCAAAGACAGACAUUUUUCUAGAGGCAAGAUAAGAAUCUCAGAAUUACUAGUUUGACAAGAUUAGAGACAGGACAGCUUCAUGCAGAGAAGAUUUGCCAGACAACCAUUAAUACACUAUCUGGACCAACAUGUUGGAACACCACACCAUCACACCUCUAUGAGUUACUUGUACGUCUCAUUCCGAAACUACAGGAUUGACCUGAAUGAAUCCUGGAUGAAAGCUGGUUACAAGUGAAGGACUCGUUGUCAUGGUUCCUGGUCAAGUCCAAUCUCGAAAUUGACUUUUGAACCUUUACUCACAAUCAUCAAAAUAACACGUUGUGCCAAAUGUGUGCUCAAAGACAUGUUCUGCCGUCACACUUGUCAUUCCUGCUUCAUCCAUUCUGCUCCUUCUCACACCUAUAACCUGGCUCCAUGCCAGGUAGGAACACUAUGUGCUGUGGUCCAUUGAACACUGUUGGCACUCUCUAGAUGUGUACCGCUCAUGUAUUUGUUGCAUGUUGUGGCAACCAAAGGGGCGCAGCUAGGACCACACAGCACAGCACGGGUUGUGAUCUGCCCAAAGCAGGCGUUUAUUUUCGGAACCGACCAACAAAAAUACAAAAAUAAAUUAGGUUCUUCCUCGGUCGAGGGCACGGUCAGGACUGGUCUCCUGGGCUGUCUGGAUCCCCCCCCCCGCUCCUCAUUCUAGUCAUUUCCCCCCCCUUUCAGCAGGGGUGGCCCGUCUUUUAUAGUGGAGCCAUCCUCGUUCCUGCUCAUGAGCUGCAGCUGUGUGGCUCGUUGUCUCUGGUGGGGGCGGAUCCCGGAGAUAUCUUCCCCCGAACACCUGACCCCGGGCUUGCUGUGCCCCUGGGUUGCCACAACGUUCUUUUGCUUUUUUACUAUUUUGGCUACAAAAGCAUCAGACCCCCCGCCCCCCACCCCUGCCAUCUUUGAUGUUAAAUCGGUCUCAAACUGAAUUAAUCUGUUGCCAAUGUUGUCCACAGAGCUCAG